UUAAAGAGCCGCGGUAUUUUGACCGUGCGAAGGUAGCAUAAUAAUUAGUCUCCUAAUUAGAGGCUUGUAUGAAUGGUCGGACAAGAUGGAAACUGUCUCAAUACAAUAAAUAAAAUUUAAUAUUUAAGUAAAAAAGCUUAAAUAAAAUGGAGGGACGAUAAGACCCUAUAAAGCUUUAUAUUACAUUUCUUUUUUAUAAAUUAUUUCGUUAUUAACUUAUUUUAGAAUUUGUAUUAUUUUACUGGGGCGGUAAAAGUAUAAUGAAGAUUAACUGCUUUUGUUUUGUAAAACAAUUAUAGUUGAAAAUAAUUUGAUCCAUUAUUAAUGAUCAUAAGAACAAGUUACUUUAGGGAUAACAGCGUAAUUUUUUUUGAGAGUUCUUAUCGAAAAAAAAGUUUGCGACCUCGAUGUUGAAUUAAGGUUACCUUAAGGUGCAGCAGUUUCA
rnacentral:rRNA from 1 species